CGUGUAGGCGGUUUCUUUAGUCCGAUGUGAAAGCCCGGGGCUCACCCUCGGAAGUGCAUCGGAUACUGGGAGACUUGAGUACCGGAGAGGAGGGUGGAAUUCCUGGUGUAGCGGUGAAAUGCGUAGAUAUCAGGAGGAACACCGGUGGCGAAGGCGGCCCUCUGGACGGAUACUGACGCUGAGACGCGAAAGCGUGGGGAGCAAACAGGAUUAGAUACCCUGGUAGUCCACGCUGUAAACGAUGGGUACUAGGUGUUCGGGGUAUUGACCCCCUGAGUGCCGCAGCUAACGCAUUAAGUACCCCGCCUGGGGACUACGGCCGCAAGGUUAAA
rnacentral:rRNA from 1 species